AGAACCACAUUGUUCCAAUAAAUCUGCUCUAAUGGCUCGCUAUCGUAUAUCGCGUUCAGAAACGGGUCUUUCGUUUCUCGCAUCACUUUCACCAGUUCAGGAGAGAGGCUACCAUCAGCUGCGACAAGAAGAUCGGCAACUAUCUCGACAGUUUCGUCGGUUUGGAGGAGCUUAGCUACCACUUUGACCGAACUUUUAUCUUCGGAAAUCGACAAGGAUAAGAAGAAGUGGCCCCACAAGAGAACAACCUCCGGCGGUAAGGACUCGUAAAGAAGCCUAUGGAGAUCGGACCAGUGCACUACUUUGAAAUUGAAACUCGGGUCUCUUGCCAGUGUCCGACUAAUGUUCUUGUCCACAUCUGUUGCUUGAUCCUUAAAAUAAAAAACACGGGACGAUGUACAGCAGAACCUCGAUAAAUUAAUACUCGAGAUAAAUUAAUAACCUCGAUUAAAUAAUAGUUUCUCUCGCUCCCGACUUGGUGAAAACGUGUUAAAUUAUUAACUCGAUAGUUUAAUAAUUCGCUAAAUGAAUAGAAUUUACCUAGACACGACUGUAUUAAUUUAUAGAGGUUUUAGCUGUAUGAAGAUUUCAUGUCCA